rfam:Amazona aestiva scaffold_1371, whole genome shotgun sequence.
CAAACGGCUCUUUUAAGAGCCCCCACUCUUUUUUAAAAAGAGCUG